UGGAUCCAGACUUUGAUCCUGGCUCAGGAUGAACGCUAGCUACAGGCUUAACACAUGCAAGUCGAGGGGAAACGACAUCGAAUGCUUGCUUUUGAUGGGCGUCGACCGGCGCACGGGUGAGUAACGCGUAUCCAACCUGCCCACCACUUGGGGAUAACCUUGCGAAAGUAAGACUAAUACCCAAUGAUAUCUCUAGAAGACAUCUGAAAGAGAUUAAAGAUUUAUCGGUGAUGGAUGGGGAUGCGUCUGAUUAGCUUGUUGGCGGGGUAACGGCCCACCAAGGCAACGAUCAGUAGGGGUUCUGAGAGGAAGGUCCCCCACAUUGGAACUGAGACACGGUCCAAACUCCUACGGGAGGCAGCAGUGAGGAAUAUUGGUCAAUGGACGAGAGUCUGAACCAGCCAAGUAGCGUGCAGGAUGACGGCCCUAUGGGUUGUAAACUGCUUUUAUAAGGGAAUAAAGUGAGUCUCGUGAGACUUUUUGCAUGUACCUUAUGAAUAAGGACCGGCUAAUUCCGUGCCAGCAGCCGCGGUAAUACGGAAGGUCCGGGCGUUAUCCGGAUUUAUUGGGUUUAAAGGGAGCGUAGGCCGGAGAUUAAGCGUGUUGUGAAAUGUAGACGCUCAACGUCUGCACUGCAGCGCGAACUGGUUUCCUUGAGUACGCACAAAGUGGGCGGAAUUCGUGGUGUAGCGGUGAAAUGCUUAGAUAUCACGAAGAACUCCGAUUGCGAAGGCAGCUCACUGGAGCGCAACUGACGCUGAAGCUCGAAAGUGCGGGUAUCGAACAGGAUUAGAUACCCUGGUAGUCCGCACGGUAAACGAUGGAUGCCCGCUGUUGGUCUGAAUAGGUCAGCGGCCAAGCGAAAGCAUUAAGCAUCCCACCUGGGGAGUACGCCGG
rnacentral:rRNA from 1 species